UGGAGGGCAAGUCUGGUCCCAGCAGCCGCGGUAAUUCCAGCUCCAAUAGCGUAUAUUAAAGUUGUUGUGGUUAAAAAGCUCGUAGUUGAACCUUGGGCCUGGCUGGCCGGUCCGCCUCACCGCGUGUACUGGUCCGGCCGGGCCUUUCCCUCUGUGGAACCCCAUGCCCUUCACUGGGUGUGGCGGGGAAACAGGACUUUUACUGUGAAAAAAUUAGAGUGCUCCAGGCAGGCCUAUGCUCGAAUACAUUAGCAUGGAAUAAUAGAAUAGGACGUGUGGUUCUAUUUUGUUGGUUUCUAGGACCGCCGUAAUGAUUAAUAGGGACAGUCGGGGGCAUCAGUAUUCAAUUGUCAGAGGUGAAAUUCUUGGAUUUAUUGAAGACUAACUACUGCGAAAGCAUUUGCCAAGGAUGUUUUCAUUAAUCAGGAACGAAAGUUAGGGGAUCGAAGACGAUCAGAUACCGUCGUAGUCUUAACCAUAAACUAUGCCGACUAGGGAUCGGACGGUGUUAUUUUUUGACCCGUUCGGCACCUUACGG
rnacentral:rRNA from 1 species